AACGAACGCUGGCGGCAGGCUUAACACAUGCAAGUCGAGCGCCCCGCAAGGGGAGCGGCAGACGGGUGAGUAACGCGUGGGAAUCUACCGUGCCCUACGGAAUAGCUCCGGGGAAAACUGGAAUUAAUACCGUAUACGCCCUACGGGGAAAGGAUUAUCGGGUAGUGAUGAGCCCGCGUUGGAUUAGUCUAGUUGGUGGGGUAAAGGACCUACCAAGGCGACGAUCCAUAGCUGGUCUGAGAGGAUGAUCAGCCACA
rnacentral:rRNA from 1 species